rnacentral:rRNA from 1 species
AUCGAACGCUGGCGGCAUGCCUUACACAUGCAAGUCGAACGGUAACGGGCCUUCGGGUGCCGACGAGUGGCGAACGGGUGAGUAAUAUAUCGGAACGUACCUUUCAGGGGGGGAUAACGUAGCGAAAGUUACGCUAAUACCGCAUAUUCUGUGCGCAGGAAAGCAGGGGACCUUCGGGCCUUGCGCUGAUUGAGCGGCCGAUAUCAGAUUAGCUAGUUGGUGAGGUAAAGGCUCACCAAGGCGACGAUCUGUAGCGGGUCUGAGAGGAUGAUCCGCCACACUGGAACUGAGACACGGUCCAGACUCCUACGGGAGGCAGCAGUGGGGAAUUUUGGACAAUGGGGGCAACCCUGAUCCAGCCAUGCCGCGUGAGUGAAGAAGGCCUUCGGGUUGUAAAGCUCUUUCGGCCGGGAAGAAAUCGUAUGGGCUAAUACCCUGUGCGGAUGACGGUACCGGCAUAAGAAGCACCGGCUAACUACGUGCCAGCCGCCGCCGUAAUAC